UACGAAGGGUGCAAACGUUGCUCGGAAUUAUUGGGCGUAAAGCGCACGUAGGCGGAUUUGCAAGUCCCAUGUGAAAGCCCACGGCUCAACCGUGGAAGUGCAUGGGAAACUGCAGAGCUUGAGUACUUAAGAGGAUCGCGGAAUUCCCGGUGUAGAGGUGAAAUUCGUAGAUAUCGGGAGGAACACCAGUGGCGAAGGCGGCGAUCUGGGAAGAUACUGACGCUGAGGUGCGAAAGCGUGGGGAGCAAACAGG
rnacentral:rRNA from 1 species